UGUAACCAACCCAGAUGAUCUGAGAGGAGGAGCAGGCCUAGGAAGGCAUCUUGCACCAGCGGAACAACCUGAUGACAACAUAGCUUCAAUAUCAAUUCCGCUGUUGCGCAUCAGUGCCGGUAAGUGACAACUUUUUAUUUUGAAGCAAAGGAUUUGUAAAUGCAUGAAGAAAUCCGUUGCUUCUAACUCUUGAUUGGCGGGACAAUACGUGUAAAAAUUAAAG